CCUACGGGUGGCAGCAGUCGAGAAUCAUUCACAAUGGGGGAAACCCUGAUGGUGCGACGCCGCGUGGGGGAAUGAAGGUCUUCGGAUUGUAAACCCCUGUCAUGUGGGAGCAAAUUAAAAAGAUAGUACCACAAGAGGAAGAGACGGCUAACUCUGUGCCAGCAGCCGCGGUAAUACAGAGGUCUCAAGCGUUGUUCGGAAUCACUGGGCGUAAAGCGUGCGUAGGCUGUUUCGUAAGUAGUGUGUGAAAGGCGCGGGCUCAACCCGCGGACGGCACAUGAUACUGCGAGACGAGAGUGAUGGAGGGGGAACCGGAAUUCUCGGUGUAGCAAUGAAAUGCGUAGAUAUCGAGAGGAACACUCGUGGCGAAGGCGGGUUCCUGGACAUUAACUGACGCUGAGGCACGAAGGCCAGGGGAGCGAAAGGGAUUAGAUACCCUUGUAGUC
rnacentral:rRNA from 1 species